AGGGUAAUUUACAAAUUAAUUUGCACUUAAAUAUUAUUGAUAAAAUCAAUUUACCUUA
rnacentral:tRNA from 1 species